UCAGUCGACUCCUACGGGAGGCAGCAGUGGGGAAUAUUGGACAAUGGGGGGCAACCCUGAUCCAGCCAUGCCGCGUGAGUGAUGACGGCCUUAGGGUUGUAAAGCUCUUUUCUCCGGGACGAUAAUGACGGUACCGGAGGAAUAAAGCCCCCGGCUAACUUCGUGCCAGCAGCCGCGGUAAUACGAAGGGGGGCUAGCGUUGCUCGGAAUCACUGGGCGUAAAGGGCGCGUAGGCGGCUGAUUUAGUCGAGGGUGAAAGCCCGUGGCUCAACCACGGAAUGGCCUUCGAUACUGAUUGGCUUGAGACCGGAAGAGGACAGCGGAACUGCGAGUGUAGAGGUGAAAUUACGUAGAUAUUCGCAAGAACACCAGUGGCGAAGGCGGCUGUCUGGUCCGGUUCUGACGCUGAGGCGCGAAAGCGUGGGGAGCAAACAGGAUUAGAUACCCUGGUAG
rnacentral:rRNA from 1 species